rnacentral:misc_RNA from 1 species
AACGGUCUAUACCUGCGGUACCUGCGGAGGGAUCAUUACCGAGUUAUCAACUCCCAAACCCCUGUGAACAUACCCGAACGUUGCCUCGGCGGGACCGCCCCGGCGCCCCUAGCGGCCCGGAACCAGGCGCCCGCCGGAGGACCCAAACUCUUGCUUUAAACAGUGGCAUACUCUCUGAGUCUCACAAACAAAAAAUAAAUCGAAACUUUUAACAACGGAUCUCUAGAUCGGAAGAGCACA